rnacentral:lncRNA from 1 species
GAGGGUGUCGUUAACCAAAGCGGUUAGCAACCGAACAACAAGCCCUGAUGACCCAUCACCCAAGAAGAUCAACGUCGGCGCUACAAACAACGCUGGACCCCUGGUGAUGCUGAGGGCUACCCAGAUGAAUUAUCUCACUGACUGUAAUGGGGCUUCCCACAUAGGUGAGUGUUGAGAUAGAGAAUAGUCACACAAGAGAUGUUGCCUCACUCAACUGCAUCUGAAUUACUCAUAAGAAAAUCCUGCUCUGGUGAGUACACAAGUUCCUACACAUUUUAAAUUAUAAAUACUUUGGAUGUGUACAUCUAAAAACAUUAAAUAACUUUUCUUCAGACUUUCUAACACUAUCAGUCCUGUCAUGGCUGUUGUGACCCGC